UACGUAGGGGGCAAGCGUUAUCCGGAAUCACUGGGCGUAAAGGGUGCGUAGGCGGCCAAUAAAGUCAGGGGUGAAAGGCUACGGCUUAACCGUAGUAAGCCUUUGAAACUUAUUGGCUUGAGUGCAGGAGAGGAGAGUGGAAUUCCUAGUGUAGCGGUGAAAUGCGUAGAUAUUAGGAGGAACACCAGUGGCGAAGGCGACUCUCUGGACUGUAACUGACGCUGAGGCACGAAAGCGUGGGGAGCGAACAGG
rnacentral:rRNA from 1 species